CUCAGUUGGUUUUGGUUUUGCUGUUCACUUAGUCGACGGUCUGGUGACCCAACGGUUUGAACCGUUUGGAAAUGGAGGAAAAUACUGGAUUAAAAAACUGCUGAAUUCUGUUAAAUUCAUACUCAAUUAUUCUGAUCCGACGGUCUGAAAACUGUUUGGCUACUCAGAAAAUGGAGGAAAAUACCGAUUGCGUCUACGUUGAUCUAUCCACGUAAUUCUACUGUUUGAUUAGAAGUUUGUAGUAUUAUAAUCCCGUCGUAUACCGCAAUUUUACUUUUCCUUUCUAUUUUUUUUGCUUUAGCAUUGAAUUUUUCCGUAGAUAAUGAUUUGUUGUGUAGUGGAGUAACUUCGGAUCGUACUCUGUAGUUAAUCAAGCUGGUCCAUGGUAGAAAUCGUAUGGCAUGGACCAUCACUUGGGCCCACCGGACAAGCCUAUCUCCUGUCACAAAUUAGUUGACUUGGUUACAGUUUUAUUCGGUGCAGAUUCGACUAUAUUGCGGUGUUGAUUUGUUUGUUUGUUGGGCAUAUUUUUUUAGGACGUCUUAAAAAAUUAUCUAUAUUUUUUAAUUUAUAAUAUUUUAUAUAUUUAAUAUGGAUAUCGUUUGAUAAAUUUUAAUUAAUUUUUUUAAACAAAAUUUUGAAAUGAUAAAAGAUAUUAUAGAUUGGAAGAUAUAAAUAAUUUUUUGUAAGGCGCAAACAAGAAACAGACACAACAAAGUGGGACGGAAGGAGUAUUAUAUAUAUACUCUCCGAGCUGGAUUUCAACUUUUCUUUCACGCUUUUCUGCUCGUUGUCGCGAAUCUUAUACUAUAUACUCUCCCAGC